rnacentral:rRNA from 1 species
GACGUAGGGCGCGAGCGUUGUCCGGAUUUAUUGGGCGUAAAGAGCUCGUAGGCGGCUUGUCGCGUCGUCCGUGAAAACCUGCAGCUCAACUGCAGGCUUGCGGUCGAUACGGGCAGGCUAGAGUUCGGUAGGGGAGACUGGAAUUCCUGGUGUGAGCGGUGAAAUGCGCAGAUAUCAGGAGGAACACCGGUGGCGAAGGCGGUUCUCUGGGCCUGUACUGACGCUGAGGAGCGAAAGCGUGGGGAGCGAACAGG